CGUCGACCAGGCCCUCCGCCAAAAUCAGAAGCCAACAAGCAGAGGACGGCAACAAAGCGAAGGGAUUACAAUCCGCAACAUCGGAUACUUCCAGGAAGAAAUCGGAUUAGCAGAACCGACACCCUCCGAUUUACAAUUGACCCAGAUGAUAAACUUUGGGAAUACAAAAAAUACCAAAUAAUCAGUUAGGAGUAGCAUCAGAUGCUUCCACCGAGCGGCCUCGCGGUACCGGGACUCCCGCCGGCGAGGGCCGUCUUACCCACGCGUAGUGCGGCUCACGCGAGUAAGACGAGGGACGGCCGGGGACGAUCGAUGGCGGCGCUGUCGUCAUUAUCGUCACGCUUGGAGGUAAGCUAGAGAGUGGCGGUGCCGGAAGCAGGGGAGGACGGGCCCCGACGACCGGCGAACUUGGAGGUGGCGGCGGCGCGACGACGUCCGGAUGCUGGCGGCAGCGGCGAGGCUCCUUGCGUGCUCCCUACAUGACCAAGGGAAAAAGAAAAGGCUAAGAUGCAGGUGAGGACUGAGGAGGAGACAUGAAGAAGGAGAAGGAGAGGCGUUGGAGCUCCGCUGUGGGGCGGCAUGCGCGAGGGAUCGGGAGGGCGCAGAGCCAGUGGAGGAAGGAGGAGACGCUCGGGAGGCUCGGUGGUGGCCUCGACUCCAUCUGGAUCUAGAGCUGCAUGUGGAGAAGAAUGCGUGGGGAGAGAUGAGGAUGAGGGCGGCUGGCUGAGAAGAUAAGGUUGGAUGGGAGGGAGGGAGAGACAGCAGUGCGUCAGGCCAAAUGACAC
rnacentral:rRNA from 1 species